AGGGCCUUAAGCACAAAUGAACUGUCAGGGGAGGUACCAAAGGAAUUGGGACUACUUACUGACCUAUCUUUUUUGUACUUACCAAUGAACAAUUUCUCUGGUCAGCUACCGCCAGAACUAGGGAAUUUAAACAAAUUAAAAAUACUUAGUCUUUUCAGUUCUGGAGUUAGUGGCGAGAUUCCUUCAACAUUUGAAAAUCUCCGAAGCUUGGAACAAUUGUA